GAGAACGUCUCCUCUACACCAGAAGCGGCCAGGCUGCAUAAAGCUCUGGCUAAAGGGAAGACGGACACAGUGCUAGCCAUCAAAAAGAGUGACGGGACUUUCACGACCAGCGCAGAGGACAGAGCUAAAGAGCUCUUGCGCGCUCACUUCCCGGAGACUGUCCCGAUUUAUCGGUGUCUGCCCUCAACUGAACACAGGCCGUCCCGCACUGAUUGGGCGAUCGCCAAACAACUGUUUACUGCGGACUCGAUCAGGUGGGCAAUAGCCUCGUUCGAGAGGUUCAAGUCUCCGGGAGUGGAUGGUAUCUUCCCAGCGCUUCUACAGCAGGGUGAGCAGAUUCUAAUGCCACACCUGAUAAGGCUGCUGAGGGAGAGCCUGGCGCUGGCCUACAUCCCCGAAUCAUGGAGAACAGCUGAGGUUAUCUUCAUACCGAAAGUGGGAAGGAAGGAUUACUCGCUGGCCAAAUCUUUCAGGCCGAUCAGCCUAACCUCCUUCCUACUGAAAACUAUGGAGAAGAUAAUAGAUUAUCAUUUAAGGUCUAACGCGCUGAGGGACGCACCCCUGCAUGCAGCUCAGCAUGCAUACAGAGCUGGCAGAUCAACUAAUACAGCUCUGUACCAGUUGACCUCCGAGAUAGAGAGCUCGCUGGAGAAAGGGGAAAUCAUGCUAUGCGCCUUCUUGGAUAUUGAAGGAGCUUUUGACAACACUUCUCGUAGAAGUGUAGCAAUGGCACUGGAAGGUAGGAAUGUGGAAGCACCGGUGCGUAGAUGGAUAGAGGCGGUACUCCGCACUAGGAUUGCUGAGACUACUGCAGGGGGUACUAAGAUUCGCCUAGGCACAACAAGGGGAUGUCCGCAGGGUGGUGUACUAUCGCCCCUGCUAUGGAGCCUUGUCGUGGACGACCUGUUAGCAUUGCUGACCGUCAACGGCAUUCGCUGCCAAGGAUAUGCGGACGAUAUAGUAAUCAUAGCGAAAGGCAAAUUCGAGGACACUCUCUGUGACCUGGUGCAACGAGGGCUAAAUCUGGCUAAGGAGUGGUGCAGGGGAGUUGAUCUGAGCAUCAACCCCUCGAAAACAACCAUCGUCCCGUUCACGAGGCGUAGAUCCUUACCCGGGCUUAGGAACCUCACACUUGGGGGCAAAGUGAUUGAGAUGACCAACAAUGUUAAAUAUCUCGGUCUCACUCUGGAUUCCACUUUGCGGUGGAAGCAGCAUGUGGACCAAACCAUGGUCAAGGCGACGAAGGCUCUAAUGGUGUGCAAUCGACUGGCAGGCAAAUCCUGGGGUUGCAAGCCAAGGAUUGUCAGGUGGUUGUACACCAUGAUUGUGCGACCGAUAGUGACAUAUGGAGCGGUGUCCUGGGCCUCUGUUGCGGCACAGGCCUCGGUGGUGGUGAGACUAUCGAGGCUUCAACGGCUAGCAUGCGUUUGCAUGACGGGCGCGAUGCGGUCCUGCCCAACAGCGGCGCUGGAGGUCCUGAUGGAUCUCACACCGCUUCACAUUGUGAUUGGCCAAGUAGCCAAGCAUUCACUUCUGCAAAUAACGUCAGAGGGAUGCGGCAAAGGAAAAAUAAUCUCGUCCCAGAGGAUGGAGGUGAUAGGUGCCAGUAAUCCAAUUGCCCUCUUCCCGAAGGACGGGACUACUAAGAUAAUUAACUUCACUAGGAAAUUCAAGGUUACCUUUGGUAGCAAGAGCGAGUGGAAUGACUCCACUCUUGAGCUGUUGCUGAGGGACAGUACACUGAAGUGGUACACCGACGGCUCGAAGACGUCGGAAGGUAUUGGUGCAGGGAUCGCGGGCCCACGCGCAAGGUUAUCCAUACCGAUGGGUCGAUUCCCCAGUAUCUUCCAGGCCGAAGUCCUAGCCAUAAGUCGGUGUAUAGAGAUAAACCUCCACCGCGGCUAUCGUAAUGAGAGAAUAACCAUACUCAGCGAUAGCCAAGCGGCACUAAAAGCAAUCUCGGGCUACGAGAUCAAAUCGCUGCUAGUGAAGGAGUGCAGGGAACGGCUAAACAGCCUAGCGGAAUUGAAUCAGGUGCACCUAGUUUGGGUACCUGGUCAUAGAGGCAUAGCCGGAAACGAACUGGCUGACGAGCUUGCCCGCUCUGCAGCAUCCACAAGUAUGGUAGGGCCCGAACCAUUCACCGGGGUGGGCCCCCACACGAUAAAGGAACUGCUCCGUAAGGAGGAAAGAGAGGGCAGAGAAGGUCACUGGCAACGGGUGCAGGGCAUGCGGCAUGCAAAGUUGCUGAUAGGGGGGUACAACCUCAAAAGGUUCAAAUCCAUAAUAAACCUCCCUAGGAUCAAACUCAGGCUCUUGGUCGCAUUUUACACCGGCCACUGCAAGUUGAAAAGGCACUUGUUCAACUUGGGACUUGCCUCUUGCUCCAAUUGCCGGUUCUGCGACAGAGAGCCUGAAACCCCGGAGCACCUGCUGAUCGAUUGCAUCGCAGUCUGUAGACGCAGGUCUAAGGCCCUUGGAAACCCAUUUCCGGAUAGGGAUCACAUCGACUCACUAGCUCCCAGCAGAAUACUGGAAUUUAUCGAUUUGUUGGGGCUUGGUGAGUCCUUGUGAGCUAGGAGAGGGCACAAUAGACCCAAGGUCGCAGUGCAUACCUCAAGUAUUUCUAUUGUCUAUUGUCUAUGUAGAGCAGAUCAAAUUUAUUACUGGUAAGUACUUAAAAUUGAUGUACAGAGAAGCAGGAGAUAUUACCGAGUAACGAAACAAUUACCAAGCUUGCCAGAUAGAUAGUUCGUUACCGAAUAACGACUAACGAAUUAACAGAGCUGGUCUGAAUACCCCUAUUAUAUAUUCGUACUGCAGAUGGACGUAAUCGGACCACGGAUCACGAGACCCACGGGACCCACGAGAUUUGAUUGAACGAAAACCUAUAAAGAGCCAUAACUAAGCACCAAUUUGGACAAAUUCCGAUUUCUUUGGCGUCGCGAUCUGAAGGUACCAUUGAAUGAAUGAAUGAUAACGAAGAAUGCACUGUGACCUUUGAUCUAUUGUGCCCUCUCCUUACUCACAUUGACUCGCCUAGACCCAGCCCAUUAAUGAAGUCCAGUAGACUUCCUGGUGCUAGUGAGGCAAUGCGAUCCCUAUCCGGAAACAACACUCCAAGGGCCUUGGAUCUGCGUCUACAGACUGCUGUGCAGUCGAACAGAAGAUACUCCGGGGUUUCAGGCUCCUUGUCGCAGAAACAGCAAUUGGCGCAAGCUGAUAGGCCCAUGCUGUGCAUAUGCCUGUUUAGCUUGCAGUGACCAGUGUACCAUGCGACUAGCAGCCUGAGUUUGUCCGUGGGGAGGUUUAUUAUAAUUUUGAACCUUUUCAAGUUAUGUCCUCCCAUUAGCAGCUUGGCGUGUCUCAUACCAUGAGCUUGUAGCCAAUACUCCUUCCUGCAUUCUCUUUCAUCUUUACGAAGCAGCUCCUUCAUGGUGUGGGGACCCACCCCGGUAAUGGGUUCGGGUCCUACCAUUUUGUUGAAGGUUGCGGAGCGGGCGAGCUCGUCCGCCAGUUCGUUGCCGGCUAUACCUUUGUGACCAGGCACCCAGAUCAGCUGUACCUGGUUCCUUUCCGCAAGGCUAUUCAGCCUAUCCCUACACUCCUGCACUAGAAGCGAUUUGAUCUCGUAAGAGGAGAUCGCCUUUAGCGCCGCUUUUCUUGACUUGCCUAUUCGCUCAUUGCGAUAGUUGCGAUGGAGGUUUAUUUCUAUACACCGGCUUCUGCCUGGAAAAUGUUCGGGAACCCACCCAUGGGUAUGGAGAGCUUAUUGCGUGGGCCCACAAUCCCUGCGCCGAUUCCCUCCGACAUUUUCGUGCCAUCGGUGUACCAUCUCAUAGUACUGCUCCUCAACAACAGCUCGAGAUUGGAGUCGUUCCAAUCCUCUUUGCUGCCGAGAGUAACCUUAAACUUUUUCCUGAAGUUAACCUUUUUGGUAGCGCUAUCCCUCGGGAGAAGGACCACUGGUAAAUUGCCACUUAUCCUUUCCAUCCUCUGGGAUGAGACUACUUUGCCUUUUCCCCACCCCUCUGCCGUUAUUUGCAGAAGAGUGUGUUGGGGCUACCUGACCGAUAACUAAAUGAAGCGGAGUAAGUUCGAGAAGAACCUUCAGUGCUGCCGUUGGACAGGUACGCAUUGCGCCAGUCAUACAGACACAGGCCAGCCGCUGUAGCUUCAGUAGCUUAGUCUUAACCGAAGUUAGCGACGCUACCGAGGCCCAGGCUACCGCCCCAUAUGUGAUUAUCGGUCUCACUAUCAUGGUGUACAACCACCUAACUAUCCUUGGCUUACAACCCCAGGACCUUCCUGCCAGCCGAUUACACACCAUUAAGGCUUUUGUCGCCUUGACCAAGGUCAGGUUUAUGUGCUGCUUCCAUCUCAACGUGGAGUCUAGCAUCAAACCGAGGUAUUUGACACUGUUGGUCAUCUCUAUCUCACUGUCCCCCAGUGAGAGAUUCCUAAGACCGGGUAGGGUCCUGCGUCUCGUAAGCUGGAUUACUGACGUCUUGGAGGGAUUGAUGUUUAGUUCAACCUCCUUACACCACCCCUUCGCUAGAUUAAGACUUCUUUGGAUCAAGUCCUAUUUUCCUUUUGCCAUAAUUACAAUGUCGUCCGCGUACCCUUGGCAGCGGAUCCCGUUGUCAACAGUGUCAGCAGGUCGUCUACGACUAGACUCCAUAGCAGGGCUGAUAACACACCCCCUGUGCGCAGCCUCUUGUUGUGCCGAGACGAAUUCUGCUAUCACCUACUGUGGUCUCAGCAACCCUUGUGCGCAGUACGGCUUCUAUCCAACUACGCACUGGUGCCGCCACAUUCCUUUUUUCCAGUUUCCUGGCUACACUCCUGUGGGACGUGUUAUCAAAGGCACCUUCGAUGUCCAGGAAUACGCAAAGCAUCGCCUCCCCAUACUCCAGUGAACUCUCUAUUUCAGAAGUCAGCUGGUACAGAGCAGUACUGGUAGAUCUGUCCGUUCUGUAGGCAUGCUGAGCUGCUUGCAGUGGUAACCUUUCCAGCGCCUUCGUCCUUAUUUGCUGAUCCACGAUCUUCUCCAUGGUUUUUAGUAGGAAAGACGUGAGACUUAUUGGCCAAAAAGAUUUCGCCAACGAGUAGUCUUACCUUCCUACCUUGGGUAUGAAGAUCACCUUCGCUGUCCUCCAUACCUCAGGGAUAUACGCCAUUGCGAUUCUCUCUCUCAGCAGCCGAACCAGGUGAGGCAGCAGAUACUGCUCUCCCUGUUGUAACAUCGCCGGAAAGAGGCCAUCCACCAUUAGAAAAAGGAAGUCCUCCUGAUUAAAAAAUAUAUAAAGGUAUAGCUGAAACAGCGAACAACGUAAACCCGCAGCCCGAAUCGGCUGAUACAGCGUCAGGUAGUUAGGUACGAGCUGAUGUACCGCAUGUUUUGAGCUCUUGAACUGUUUAAAGUUUUAUAUGGAUGAAAAAAGUUUAUAUGGAAAAUAAGAAAAAGGAGAAAUAUACUUUUUGCUACAAAUGUAUUUCUUGUAAAAAAAGAUUUUAUAUUUUCGGACUAUGAUAAUUAUAGUAUAAAUUUUUUAUACCAAUUAAAAUAAUAAAUUUGAUAUGAUAUUUUGAUUUAUGUUUGUAUAAGUUUAUUAAAUUUAAGAUUCCGCUCAUUCGCCAAUCAAUUUUGUAUAAUUUUUCCGCAAAUUAACAAUAUUAAACUAAAUAUUAAAAUGUAUUAAAUUAUUUUGAAAAUGUACUUUAUUAUUAUAAUAUAACACUACUCGCUCUACUAAAUUUAAUAUUCCUGAAAUGAACAUGCCGUCGGUGCAUGUGUGUGCUUAAAUGGGAUAUGUGCCUUUCCGAAAUUUUCAUAGAAAUGAAAACUACGCUGUCAAACUGCUGAAGAGCCAGGCUAUUGCUUUCAAUAUAUGGCAUACUAUUAGUAUUCCAUAUAAUGCUUUCCGUAAGUAGUGUGGAGUCUCCACGAGCAAUAUGAACGGCAAUACAAUUAGUAUACAAUAAACUUUAUCUUGUCGAGAUGCCCCGUUACUAGGGUUGUCAAUAGUAUCCACACUGCGAUCCACAAUGGUUCGCUUUUAUUGUGGAUUAUAUUUCAGCAAAUUUCUAUGCACUCUUUUAAAAACGGCAAACCGAUCGAAUAAUUUGAAAGAGAAUGCGGGGUGUACGAGUGUGAAUAAAUAAAUUGUUAUUUGGAUACACAAUAGUGAUAAAUUAUUAACAUCUUGUAUAAGAAAUAUUUUGAAGUGCUUUGGAAAUAAUAGAAAUUUGUGCUCUGAACGCAAAGGCUCUUUUUUAUUAUAUUUUCUGCUGUUGAAAGAAGGGUGAAAAGUAAGCGGGUACUUUUGCGUAUUGUACACCUUUUAACAUAUUGAUACAUCUGUAUGUCAUUGCUUUUUGGAGAAAUUACUGUUGAAUUUGAGCUCUGCACCAGGGAGAUCAACCGUUUAAAAGAGAAAAUGCAGUGACGCCCUAAAGAGGUGAAAGCUCUGUGUAGAGUGGGUGCCUCGAAAGUUCAUAAUCUAACAAAAACAACGAAUUGCUAAAUCUGAGGAGUGUUUGAGUGCUCUUUGAUCGUAAUGAACCGAAUUUUUGCGUCGGUGCGACAAUAGAAAUACGGUUCCAUCAUUUCACACUGGAGUCCAAUUGAGAGACAUUAUAGUAGACUGCACGUGAUGAACCGGUCUUCAAGCGCGGAAAACGAAAAGCCGACUGGCAAGGUUAUGACAUCAGUCUUUUGGGAUGCACGUGGUUUAAUAUUCAUAGACUGAUUACUGAGCCAGCUAUAAUCCAUUUCAAUUCUUUUUGUAUACAAGAAAGGAAUUUUGCGUUGCUCAUCAAACGACAUUGGAUCCUGUAUUCACGAAAAUGGUUGAUUAUUACAAAGUGCUCGACAUAUCGCGAGAUGCGACAGAAAGCGAAGUGAAGAAAGCGUA